GAUGAACGCUGGCAGCGUGCCUAAUACAUGCCAGUCGUUCGCGCGGACGUGAUUCUUGCUUCUCUGAUGUUAGCACCGGACAGGUGAGUAACACGUGGUUAACCUACCUAUAAGAUUGAGAGAAGUUCGGGACACCUGAGCUAAGACCAGGUAAUACUUUGAACCGCAUGGUUCAAAAGUAAGAGAUGGUGUUGGUGAGACUUAUGUCUUGUUACGCUCUUGAUUGGCUAGUUGGUAAGGUAACGGCUUAUCAAGGCAACGAUGAAGAGCCCACCUGAGAGGGUGAAGGGAGACACUGGAACUGAGACACGGUCCAGACUCCUACGGGAGGCAGCAGUAGGGAAUCUUCCGCAAUGGGCGAAAGCCUGACGGAGCAACGCCGCGUGAGUUAUGAAGGUCUUCGGAUCGUAAAACUCUGUUAUUAGGGAAGAACAUAUGUGUAAGUAACUGUGCACAUCUUGACGGUACCUAAUCAGAAAGCCACGGCUAACUACGUG
rnacentral:rRNA from 1 species